GCCGGAGUGACAGAGUCUGGCUAAUUGUGCCGGUCUUGAGAACCGGUGAGGCAUACCCGCCUCUCCUGGGUUCAAAUCCCAGCUCCGGCG
rnacentral:tRNA from 3 species